rnacentral:rRNA from 1 species
UACGUAGGGGGCUAGCGUUGUCCGGAAUCAUUGGGCGUAAAGCGCGUGUAGGCGGCCCGGUAAGUCCGCUGUGAAAGUCGGGGGCUCAACCCUCGGAUGCCGGUGGAUACUGUCGGGCUCGAAUCCGGAAGAGGUGAGUGGAAUUCCUGGUGUAGCGGUGAAAUGCGCAGAUAUCAGGAGGAACACCAAUGGCGAAGGCAGCUCGCUGGGACGGUACUGACGCUGAGGCGCGAAAGCGUGGGGAGCAAACAGG